UACGUAGGGACCAAGCGUUGUUCGGAUUUACUGGGCGUAAAGGGCGCGUAGGCGGCUUGCCAAGUCAGGGGUGAAAUCUUUCGGCUCAACCGGAAAAGUGCUUCUGAUACUGGCGGGCUGGAGGGGGGUAGGGGCAGAUGGAACUUCCGGUGGAGCGGUGAAAUGCGUAGAUAUCGGAAGGAACGCCGGUGGCGAAAGCGAUCUGCUGGACCCCUUCUGACGCUGAGGCGCGAAAGCCAGGGGAGCGAACGGG
rnacentral:rRNA from 1 species